rnacentral:rRNA from 1 species
UUUGUGCUGUCGCGCCUCACCUCUCACCUCUUGGUUCGGCAUCGAGGCCGCUUCGAAGUCGAUGCUAGCUAGUAGCUAGCUACGGCGACGGCGGUCUCUACGGCGACCCAGAGGGGAAGUGGCAGCUGUGUACCCCGGGUAGGGCGGCGAUGGCCGCGGUGGCGAAGUAGUGGGUGCGCGUGUGCCUGGUGUAACGGCUACGGACCCGGCCGGGGCCCCUGUGGCAGAUGCGGUGGGUCGAGUGGUACGCGGAGCGGGAGGUUGCGGUAGGGGUCGACCUCGCCCCAUUCAAACACCUUUACCUCCACCCUUUCUCCACCCACCACCUGCUGGGACUGCCGCGGAAAAGGCAGUGGCGGAUGCUACGGUUAGUGACGCGACCUCGCCAAUACAACGACAAGCUCCCAGGUAAACCAUGGUAUGACGUGUGCCCCCUGACAGCCGAGUGUAGUGUAACACAUGCCUUUAACGAUGACUUUAACCUUCGUUUAGAAACGGGCAACCUGUGACACAUGAACCUGAACUGUAAAGGGUUUAAAGAGCUCAAAGGCUCGUUCCUCAGCCGCUAAGUCGUCCAAUAUCGAACGUAUAGCUUCGUAAGUGCACGUGGAAAGUAAAUAGAGCCUACAGUUUCUGAACCGGUUCUUCUCUAGAAUUUUCUCCACAGUUCCAGUAAAUCUAGCUUUUGAUACAACUAUUCCCUGACAUGAACCUAACAAAAUUGUGUAACAGUGUGUAACAGGGACUUUAUUAGUGACUACUAGGUUGAUCAGCGAAGGUCCAUGACGGUCAAGUUAGGUUCCUCGAUUUAUUCUAUCGUUGGCUCUUCGAGCUUCUCCGUUCCCGAUCGCUAGUCGGUCUUGGAAAUAAAUAAGCAGGAAGUCGUACCGCCAUAAGGUUACGAAUACAAGUUUUGGCCUUUGGGUCGGAUUGUCUUCGACUCGUCCUACCAUUACAUACCGCACAAACAAAGAGGUUAGUGAGGAGACCAUUACUUAAUCUCGGCCGUGACGUUGAGGAGGUCGGAGUUACCCAGCAAAGUUGGUGAGGGGGUUUAAACCGCUCACUUGACUCAAUACAUUCCUCUGCGAUAAAUAGUGUGUGUUGUGUCCCUGUACGCGGUAGUUCGUAGACAAAGGCGUGUUGUAGGGAUACAGGCCAACUCCGUCUGAUACUAUUAAAAUAAGCUCCCUUCCUUCUGAUACUUAUAAAAUAAGCUCCCUAUGGCAGAGUUCCCGUCUCCAUUAAUACAUACCUUUUACCUUAGAAAGCACUUUGAGUGCUCUGUUUGUGUAAAGAGGAACUUUACUUUAAACUAAAUUAAUUAACUGAAGAGUGAAGUGAAAAAGUAGUAAGAGAAUUUUUUAACUACACGUACUUCUUCGGGAUCUCAACACGUCUAUCUUCUUUGUACCCACCUGGUAUCCUGUAAACCUGAUAGUUACCCACACUUGCCAAUAUAUAGUUUUUUACAAUAGUUGUACUACACGUUUCGAUAGUACAGUCUUGUCGCACUACGUGUAAAGAACUUCGUACAAAAAUUAAGGCUCGAACCUUUUUACGAAGUUCUGGGGAGGUGUACGGCUCUUUCGUAAAGUUUGAUGGAUGGAUUCGGGUUAGUCCCUAAGUUUGGGUUUUUGUACCUACGUCAAAAACAUGGUAACGAUUUAACGUUCUGAACCAUGGAUGAACAUCGUUUAAAAACCUUCUCUGCCAAGCUCCAUAACUCAGGUUACCCCACGUGACUGUUUAACUAUUGUGUUCGUGUCAAAUAACAUACGUUGAAAGCCCUUCGAAAAGUAUCACGUAUAGGAGUCGAGGUAUGGCAUUAUUAGUUUCUGUACCUAUAAUGGAAGGUAUGGUAUAGUUUGAGUGUGUUGCUUAGGUUAUCACCAUAUAAAUAGUACUUCUGUGAUCUAAAUAUGCUACCUCUCUUUGUAUAGAAGAAAUUGCUAAGACUGCGGUUUCCUGAGGCACUUGUGAACCGUAAUAUAAACAACGUGGUGUUCAUAUUACUCUACGGGGUGUCUGUACAUGUUCCAGAUCACCCGGGGAUUUCAGUUGGCGGGCUAACAUUUUAAUGCUGAAGUACUUCCACUAGGUCUAAUACAAAAAAUGGUAGAUGCUCCUUACGACGGUUCUUUCAAAUACUUACAUAGUAAACUUUAACAGGUGUACUUCGAUUACAACAAGUAGUACUCAAUCUAACUUCGUGUUUCUAGAGGUGGGGUACAAACUAACCUUUUAGGUGAAUUAAAAUAAAGUGUGAUACUAUAUUGGUAAUAAACUCAAUUAUUUCCUACACAAGAUCUAGGUUCAACACUCACUAGUGUUUAUGAUAUAUUCGAGAACGUGGUUUCCCGUGAUACGUUGUAGCAAGAGUACACAGAGGGAGGCAGAACCAAAACGAUAAAAAGAGGACGAGUGUUGGCGGGUUUGAGAUUAAAGAUACCCACAAGAAGUAGGUGGAGCGAGCACCACAACUCUAUACGGUGUUCUCGUACUUUUGGGUCGUACUCCGUUUCUCUUAAUGGGUUUCUGUACAAUCACUUCGUUAAACAACAAAACCAUACACUCCAUAAGAAGGACCAAUAGAAAGAUAAUUAGAAGAAAUGAUAGUUAUCUCCUGUCAAUCAGUUAUUCACUGCCACAGUGUUGGGGAAGGGUAGGGAGGGGCACAGGUGAGAUCUUUGGUUGAUUGUACGCCAGGGUCGGUCUUCGAGGAUAGCAAUUGUUUGUUUUACUUGAUGUGUUAUAGGUUGGAGAGUAAACUAUUUUGGUAUGUCCGGCGUUAUUUACUUAAAGAUCACAUAGUAAAUAAAAGGGGUACUGAAGAGGUAGUACUAAUAGAGCUGAUGUGGUAGAACAUGUUACCAAUCUCCCAGGGAUUUCAGUCC